rnacentral:rRNA from 1 species
AGUGAACGCUGGCGGUAGGCCUAACACAUGCAAGUCGAACGGCAGCACAGUAAGAGCUUGCUCUUACGGGUGGCGAGUGGCGGACGGGUGAGGAAUACAUCGGAAUCUACUUUUUCGUGGGGGAUAACGUAGGGAAACUUACGCUAAUACCGCAUACGACCUACGGGUGAAAGCAGGGGAUCUUCGGACCUUGCGCGAUUGAAUGAGCCGAUGUCGGAUUAGCUAGUUGGCGGGGUAAAGGCCCACCAAGGCGACGAUCCGUAGCUGGUCUGAGAGGAUGAUCAGCCACACUGGAAGUGGGACACGGUCCAGAGUCCUGCGGGAGGGAGCAGUGGGGAAUAUUGGACAAUGGGCGGAAGCCUGAUCCAGCCAUACCGCGUGGGUGAAGAAGGCCUUCGGGUUGUAAAGACCUUUUGUUGGGAAAGAAAAGCAGCAGGUUAAUACCCCGCGGUUCUGACGGUACCCAAAGAAUAAGCACCGGCUAACUUCGUG